GGACGGGGAUUUUCGAUCAAAUUUGGCGCAGUUCGUAUCCUACCGUUCAAACUUUAGUGACAGUGCUAGUUAAAGAAGUGAUGUCAACAAAUCAGCUAUUCAGAUAAUUUAGAAAACGUCUCGGAUUUGGACGCCAGCCACAGCGUGGAGGGUCUGUCACACUUUGCAGCUGUAUCUGUUUGAAGUUUUCAUCGUGCACUAAGGAGGUCUAAGAGACUGAUAAAAAAACGUGAUAAAAGGCACCCGCUGCUUUAGGUUUUUAAAAAGGAUUCGCUCUGAGAAACCCGACGAUUAUCCGUAAAACGUCUAGUGUUUUUAUAGCAGAUUCCAACAAUGUAUUAUGCAUACUUAUACUGCAUCCUUAAAUACAGAAGAUUAUAAGAUUUGUUUACAUAAUUAGGUAAUUAUUUUUUAUAAAUUUAUGCAUAAUUUAGGAGCAUUCAU